AUGAAAACCCUAGCGCAAAUCGAUCUUCUGAAUCGUCGAUUUAGGGUUCGUUUUUCUUCAACUUCUCAAAUUUUCAAUUUUCUAAACCUUUACCAAUUGAUUAACUCCGUGUUUGUUGAAUUACAAAAAUGGCUAAGUCGAAGAAUCACACCGCUCACAACUAGUCUUACAAGGCUCACAAGAAUGGCAUCAAGAAGCCAAAUAGACAUCACCACACUUCCACCAAAGGGGUAUUCAUUCUUAUCUUUAAUUAUUAGUUUUCAAUUUUAA